AUGGCAUUGUGUCAGUACAAACUAAAUGAGAGUGAAACCGCGAAUGGCUCAUUAAAUCAGCUAUGAUUCAUUGGAUCUGUACACCCAGUUUUCCUUGGAUAACUGUGGUAAUUCUAGAGCUAAUACAUGCACAUAUAGUCCCUGCCCUCCUCUCUUGUCUGACGAUGAGAGAGAGAGGGAAGGGCGCUUUUAUUAGUAUCAAAACCGGUCGGGCUUCGGUCUGUUAACCUAUUUGAUGACUCUGGAUAACUUUUAGCUGAGCGCACGGUCUUUUGCACCGGCGCCGCUUCUUUCAAGUGUCUGCCUUAUCAGCUUUCGAUUGUAUGUUAUGUGCCUACAAUGGCUAUAACGGGUAACGGGGAAUCAGGGUUCGAUUCCGGAGAGGGAGCCUGAGAAACGGCUACCACAUCUAAGGAAGGCAGCAGGCACGCAAAUUACCCACUCCCGGCACGGGGAGGUAGUGACGAAAAAUAACGAUGCGAGACUCAUCCGAGGCUUCGCAAUCGGAAUGAGUACACUUUAAAUCCUUUAACGAGGAUCAAUUGGAGGGCAAGUCUGGUGCCAGCAGCCGCGGUAAUUCCAGCUCCAAUGGCGUAUAUUAAAGUUGUUGCGGUUAAAAAGCUCGUAGUUGGAUUUCAGUAUUGGACUGAUGAGUUUUUUCACCUUCGGGUGAUUAAACGGAAUCAAGCUUCAAAACCUGCUACCACAAUAAUUACAUUGUGUGUUGCUCAACUAGCUCACACGGGGUGCUCUUAACCGAGUGUCCCGAGUGGCUGGUAUGUUUACUUUGAAAAAAUUAGAGUGCUCAGAGCAGGCUACAAAUGGCCUGAAUGUCUAUGCAUGGAAUAAUAUAAGAGGACCUCGGUUUUAUGUUUUACCGCGUUUCUUUUGGAAACCCGAGGUAAUGAUUAAUAGGACCAAGUGAGGGCAUUAGUACUGCGACGCUAGAGGUGAAGAUGCUUUCAUUAAUCAAGAACGAAAGUUAGAGGUUCGAAGGCGAUCAGAUACCGCCCUAGUUCUAACCAUAAACGAUGCUAACCAGCGAUCCGCCGUAGUUAUUCCCAUGACUCGGCGGGCAGCUUCCGGGAAACCAAAGUCUUUGAGUUCCGGGGGAAGUAUGGUUGCAAAUCUGAAACUUAAAGGAAUUGACGGAAGGGCACCACCAGGAGUGGAGCCUGCGGCUUAAUUUGACUCAACACGGGAAACCUCACCAGGCCCAGACACUGGAAGGAUUGACAGAUUGAGAGCUCUUUCUCGAUUCAGUGGGUGGUGGUGCAUGGCCGUUCUUAGUUGGUGGAGCGAUUUGUCUGGUUAAUUCCGAUAACGAACGAGACUCUGGCCUAUUAACUAGUCGACGGAUUUCCAAACCAUGCAAUUGGUGUCCAGUUCGCAAUAUUAUCUUCUUAGAGGGAUAAGCGGUAGUCCUAGCCGCACGAGAAUGAGCAAUAACAGGUCUGUGAUGCCCUUAGAUGUUCUGGGCCGCACGCGCGCUACACUGAAGGGAUCAGAAUGUUUUCCCCCUCCGAAAGGAGCGGGUAACCCGAUGAAACCCCUUCGUGAUAGGGAUUGGGGCUUGUAAUUAUUUCCCAUGAACGAGGAAUUCCCAGUAAGCGCAGAUCAAGAGUUUGCGUUGAUUACGUCCCUGCCCUUUGUACACACCGCCCGUCGCUACUACCGAUUGAAUGAUUUAGUGAGGCCUUCGGACUGUCGCUCUUGGAUAUCUUGGCUUAAUGCUAGUUCCUAGAGCUGACGGAAAGAUGUCCAAACUUGAUCAUUUAGAGGAAGUAAAAGUCGUAACAAGGUUUC
rnacentral:rRNA from 1 species